GACACAAAUUAAGUAUCUGUAUAACGUAAAUAUCAUUAUUAUUGACACAAUAUAGUAUCUGUAUAACAUAAUAUCAUUAUUAUCGACACAAAUUAAAUAUCUGUGUAACGUAAAUAUAAUUAUUAUCGAAACAAAUUCAAUAUCUCUAUAACGUAAAUAUCAUUAUUAUCGACACAAAUUAAAUAUCUGUAUAACGUAAAUAUAAUUAUUAUCGAAAUAAAUUCAAUAUCUCUAUAACGUAAAUAUCAUUAUUAUCGACACAAUAUAGUAUCUGUAUAACGUAAAUAUCAUUAUUAUCGACACAAAUUAAAUAUCUGUAUAACGUAAAUAUAAUUAUUAUCGAAACAAAUUCAAUAUCUCUAUAACGUAAAUAUCAUUAUUAUCGACACAAAUUAUGUAUCUGCAUAACGUAAAUAUCAUUAUUAUCGACACCAUAUAGUAUCUGUAUAACGUAAAUAUCAUUAUUAUCGACACAAAUUAAAUAUCUGUAUAACGUAAAUAUAAUUAUUAUCGAAACAAAUUCAAUAUCUCUAUAACGUAAAUAUCAUUAUUAUCGACACAAUAUAGUAUCUGUAUAACGUAAAUAUCAUUAUUAUCGACACAAUAUAGUAUCUGUAUAACGUAAAUAUCAUUAUUAUCGACACAAAUUAAGAAUCUGUAUAACGUAAAUAUCAUUAUUAUUGACACAAAUUAAAUAUCUGUAUAACGUAAAUAUCAUUAUUAUCGACACAAUAUAGUAUCUGUAUAACGUAAAUAUCAUUAUUAUUGACACAAAUUAAAUAUCUGUAUAACGUAAAUAUCAUUAUUAUUGCCAAAAAUUAAAUAUCUGUAUAACGUAAAUAUCAUUAUUAUUGACACAAAUUAAAUAUCUGUAUAAUGUAAAUAUCAUUAUUAUCGACACAAUAUAGUAUCUGUAUAACGUAAAUAUCAUUAUUAUCGACACAAUAUAGUAUCUGUAUAACGUAAAUAUCAUUAUUAUUGACACAAAUUAAAUAUCUGUAUAACGUAAAUAUCAUUAUUAUUGCCAAAAAUUAAAUAUCUGUAUAACGUAAAUAUCAUUAUUAUUGACACAAAUUAAAUAUCUGUAUAAUGUAAAUAUCAUUAUUAUCGACACAAUAUAGUAUCUGUAUAACGUAAAUAUCAUUAUUAUUGACACAAAUUAAAUAUCUGUUAAACGUAAAUAUCAUUAUUAUUGACACAAAUUAAAUAUCUGUAUAACGUAAAUAUUAUUAUUAUUGACACAAAUUAAAUAUCUGUAUAACGUAAAUAUCAUUAUUAUUGACACAAAUUAAAUAUCUGUAUAACGUAAAUAUCAUUAUUAUUGACACAAAUUAAUGAUCUUUAUAACUUAUAUAUCAUUAUUAUCAUCACAACUUGAUUCCAUUGCGGGUUGUGGUUCUUAUUAUAAAUUCAAUUUACAGUAGGGUGAUGACAAAGAGUUGUUUCUAUUUUGGAUAUCAUUGCAUAUCAUUGACAUAUUUAACAUUGUGAUAAUACUAUGCUUUUUGAUGGUGAGACCACAUAUCCUUAUUCGUAUUUUUUUAAACCAAUUUAACAUGAUCAUUCGAUAAUUAUAUAUUUUAAUAUAUAAUAUAAUUCAAAAUUAAAUGUACGCUACUACAUACCGUUUAAUGCAUAGACUUAGAAUACACAAGCUUAUAAACGACCUUACCACAUAAUAAGUGUAAUAAAGAGGGCAACUAUAAAUGCUGUAGCUCUUUUUCUUUUGGUGUCACGUCAAACACUAUCACCGCUUCGGAAACAAAUGGCGCUCUAAGAGAGAGAAAGCGGCUCAAGAAACUCUCCCGGCAUUCUUCUUUUGCUCUCUUUUUAAUAAAAUAUACACUGUGUACUGUCAUUGUUAUUGUUAUAAAAUAAUCAUAAUCUAGUCCCAGGCGGUCCGAUCACUUAUAUAUUCAGCUAUAGAGUUUACGACAGAACCAUUUUUUAAUAAAACAUAUAAAUUUAUUUAUAGAUAAUGCCUGGCUGGGAUGUUAUUAAAAAAGUGUAAACAUUUACCCUUCAAGCUAUAAUAUAUCUUAUGAAGCCUACUAGAAUUAGUUACAAGCAAUCCCUUAUUAGUGUUACAAUAAUGAAAUAUCUUAGCAGUUGUUAACUUGUUAAUCAAAAUCAGUUACAUAUAAUAUAUUCACUUACCUUUUCUAUGUUGUAACACCGUAAGAGAUAUAUAUAUUAUAUAAAAUGUGCCAAUUGAAAAAGUUAGAUUAGGCCCAUUUAAUGGUUACUCUGUAUAUAAAAGAUAAUUAAUAUAGUAUAUUUUAUUGUUUUAUAGAUCUUUACCUUAGGGAUAGGUAAUAUAUAUAUAUAUUACCUAUCCCUGUAUAUUUGUGGUUAUAAAAUAUUUGUGCCAAAUUCAGUUAUUGUGUAAAGUGUAAUUAUAAUUUAAUUAAUUUUAAUCCAAUAAGCUAUGGUUUCCUAAAAGAGCGUUGUCGAUACAAAAGUCGGUUAUGUACUUAAGUUUAUUGACAGUUGAUGUUAAGUCCAAUAGUACCUACCUUCUACUGUUUUAGAGUGACAUCUAUAAUGCGAACUUAGACUGCUCAGAAUUUACAAAAAACUUAGCUUGAUUUUUUAAUUGGACUGUUUAUGCUUAAGCAUUAGCUUUAAUUAUACUGAGCUAAAAGCUGAUUAAGCUCUAAGUAUAAUUUCAGAUAAUGAUCGAAUGAUGAAGACUAUGAAAACGAAAUCAAUGAAAUUUUACUGGGAGGCUCCUUUGCACAGGAUGCCGGCUAGAUUAUGGGUACCACAACGGCGCCUAUAUCUGCCGUGAAGCAGUAAUGUGUAAGCAUUACUGAGUUUCGGUCUGAAGGGCGCCAAAGCUAGUGAAAUUACUGGGCAAAUGAAACUUAACAUCUUAUAUCUCAAGGUGACGAGCGCAGUUCUAGUGCCGCUCAGAAAUUUUGGGGGUUUGUCAAGAAUCCUGAGAGGCAUUGCAUUGAUAUGGGCAGGGCGCAUCAAUUAUCAUCAGCUGCGUCCUGCUCGUCGCGUCUAAAAAGAAAAAAAAUUGGUAGAGUGUGAAUUCGUGCUAUAACGUAUUCAAAAUACUUACAGACACGAAUAGUAAUGCUAUAUCAAGACUUCUUCAUAACUUUGAGAAGAAUUUUUCCUGUUUUCCUUCAUUAAAUUAUUAUUCAACGUUACUGUUGAAUACAAUUCGUAUAUUUGAGCACCUUUCAACUUAAUUUGUUAUAAUAAUAUAUACUACGUUAUAUACUUUUUACGGUUCAUUAUAAUGUCCGACUCCUCUAAAUAACGCAAGGACAUUGAAUGGAACCACAGCUUUAAAAUUUUAUAUUGUUCCAAAUACUAGUCUAGCGCGUAUCUUAUAAAUUCAGUUUACACUCUAAUAUUUCUGUGAUUUUAUUUUAUUACAUUAUUUUAUAUAAUACUAGCUAUAUUUUGAUAUUUACUUAAUAGAAAUAAGUAAUAAAUAACACUUACCUGUCAGAGCACUUAUAACAUAAACGAUAGUAAAUAGAAAGUAGUAUUUAAUAGUUGUCUCAAUGAUUCAUACUAUGAAGUAAUUUUAUUGUAUUGUUAUAAAUUUGUAUUGACACUACGUUACAUUUGAUGCCUCUUAUCAUAUUGUGUUAUGGUCUAAUCUGAACAGCUUCAAUGAAGGCGAUAACACCAAAAAGAUUUAAAGAUUUGACGACGCUUCUAUUGUUCUCGACACGCCCGCGCCUAUGCGUCUUUUCUUCAAUAGUUCUUUCGCUGUUGAACAAAGACGUUUAUAUUUACACCUAGCAUAAUAUAUGAAUAAACUGGAUUUUCUUAUAAUAUAACUUUUAACUGUUAUACCAAACAAUAGUCAAAUUAGUGUUAUCAUUACGGCACUUUAUUAUAUUCUUUAGCGGGCAGUUCAAAAUAGUAUACACGUGUACACCUAGCAUUGAGAUGAUUCUCUUGAAAUAAUAUGGCUAAGCGUAUGUUGAGACGCAGAGGAGAAAUAUAAAAAGCUUAUUCGAAGUGGUCUCCAUUGGCUGCAAUUCAGUCCUUUAAACGUUGCGGCCACUUAUCAAUGAAGCACGCACUAUUUCCAAAAUUCUUCACUGACAAUCGUAUGGAUUGUUUUAGGGACACCAAAUUAUCAUGGCGUUUAGAGCUAGCCGUACUCUCUAAAACUGAUCAUAAAUCAUAAUCCAGCGGAUUAAGAUCGGGACUACACGACAGCCAGUAUUCAGCUCUGAUGAACUCCGAAACGUUCGUUUCCAACCAAGACUGCGUAGACCGAUGCUGGAAGAACAUUACCUUCUCAAGAAUAGUAUCUUGAUACACUUGUAACGAUGUUUUGAUACCUUUUUCACAAAAGUAUAUAUCAGUCUCUCCUUCCAUAGCUAGCUUCAUAGCUAAUACCCCAACAAACUACUAAUUAGGAAGGAGAGUUAUAAUGGGUAAUAAAAUUUUGCCGCUCACCUCAUUGUACUCAUUUUACUGGUCCACUAGAAUACGUUUAUUCUUUAUACGAUGCGAAAGUGUUCGCGCUGCGUCGCAGCAUACGGUUAGCCUAUUCGUUGCGUGAAAGAGCACGUUUCAACAAUGUAAUUUAAAUAAAUAUAUUUAAUAGAAGAAAUAUGGUGUUUUGUAUGGUAUUGUGUCAUCUUGUUAAAUAUAAAGAAUAUUUAAAUAAAUAUUAAUAUGAUGGUGAAGUUUGAAGUCUGAGCUGCGCGUACGAAACGAAGGAACAUGAUAUUAUUAUGUUUGGACAACAAUCGGCAAUCUAGCUUAGUAUGUUGGUGUGUAGAUGAUUAAAAAUAUAUAAAUGUUACAAACA